ensembl:lncRNA
AUCUCAUUUAAGAAAAGUAACCCUUAGAUUGCAAAUUAAGAAGUUACAAUAUUUGACACCUCACUAAAAAUAACAAUACAUUUUUAUUAAGUUUGCUUUUCUUAAAUAAGACAUCCCUGAUGACAUAAUCAGCCUUCAAAUGCGACCUCUGGAGGACGCAGCAUACAGUACAUAUCGCUUUCUGCCCCUGGUUUCUGUGUGUUGUAGUGAAAUGGAUUACCUUAAUGGCAAUUCACGGACGAGGAGGAGGAGAAUCAAAGUCAGAGUGCAGCAGCAUUUAAUGAGUAUUGCAAUGGAGGCUAUGGAGCAGGCAGAUCAGGCUGUGGACCAGGCAGUGCAAAAUAUUGAGGACAAUGCUGAUGAAACUGUAAAUCUGGAUUUUGAUGUUGAUACUGAAGUUGAUGACUUGUACAUGGCAAGUGAUCCUGAUGAAGAUUCUUGCUCUGAUAAUCCUGAAGAGGAACCCCAUAAUGAUGCAAAAAGGAAACUGGCUGAAUGGGCAGCUAACCGAAAUGUAUCUCAUUCUGCACUUUCAGAACUAUUAGGUAUACUUUUGGAGCUAGGUUUAGAUUUACCGAAGGAUCCCAGAACUCUCCUCAGUACAGUGAAAGAAUGUGAUGUGAAAAAGAUGGGUCAGGGUAGCUACUAUCAUUUUGGCCUUACAAGUGCAAUAAUUUCAGAAUUGAAAAUUACAAGCGAGAGUGAACUGACAACAGAUACAUUGACUGUUCGUGUGAAUGUUGAUGGAUUACCUCUUUCUAGGAGCUCUAAUAUGCAGUUGUGGCCUAUAUUAGGUCAAAUAGUUGAAUUACCAAAAGCAAAUGUGUUUAUAAUUGGUGUCUAUGCAGGUCCCUGUAAACCUGAAUCAGUAAAUGACUACAUGCAUGAUUUUAUAGAAGAUUUAAAAGUUGUCACAAGAGUUGGUGUAACUUUUAAUGGUAAACACUACAAUGUACCACUGCCAGAUGCGUUUAUCUGUGACACUCCAGCAAGAGCCUUUUUAAAAUGUGUCAAAGGUCAUGGUGGCUACAGUUCUUGUGAGCGUUGCACGCAGUAUGGCGUUUAUCUUGAUGGUAAAGUUGUGUUUCCUGACAUGGAUUCAAGCCUAAGAACAGACACUCAGUUUGAUCAAAUGUUUGAUGAAGAGCACCACCACUCUAAAUCACCUCUCCAGGGCCUAGGCAUUGGCAUGGUUUCCAGUUUUCCUUUGGACUAUAUGCAUUUAGUUUGCUUGGGCAUUGUCCGUAAAUUAAUUGCUCUGUGGUUCAAGGGACCAUUGCAGUGUCGGGUUUCGUCUUCUACUCUAUCUGCUAUCUCUGAUCACUUGAAACUGUGUAGACCAAGCUUACCUCGAAGCUUCUCCAGAAAGCCACGUUCUUUGACUGAGUACAGCCAAUGGAAGGCUACAGAAUUCAGGCAGUUUUUAUUAUAUACAGGGCCUGUUGUGCUUUUUCAAAGAUUACCACGUCAACAGUACAAAAACUUUCUUGUGUUGUCAUCUGCUAUGAGAAUACUUUUGUCUCCUAUGUGUAGAGAAUUCUAUGGGUAUGCCCAAAAAUUAUUAAGAUGUUUUGUUACCAACUUUGAGAAGAUAUAUGGGAAAAAAUUUCUGGUUAACAAUACACACAGUCUUUUACAUUUAGCAGAUGAUGCUAAAAAGUAUGGCCCUCUGGAUUCAGUUUCAUGUUUUCCAUUUGAGAAUUAUUUGGGACAGUUGAAAAAAAUGGUGAGAAGACCACAGAAUCCUGUGCAACAAAUUGUCAGGCGUGUUUAUGAAAGGCAUUUAUUUGCUCACAUGUCCGAAGAAAUGCCUGAAAAUGUUAAACUGACACAGCCUCAUGAAUUUGGACCAAUGCUGACAGAAUUUCCGCUGCAUCAGUAUGUUCAAUACAAAAUGUUCAAACACAAAGACACAAUGAUCUCAAGCUCCAUUGGUACCAAUUGUUUUGAACUUGAGGGAAGAGUUGGGAUUGUGCGGAACAUUGUGCAUUCCACUGUGACUGGAGGAACACAUGUGGUGUAUGAACUUUUUCAGACAGGGACAUGUUUUUUCAACUACCCCCUUGAUUCUACAUCUCUUGGAGUCUGUUUGCUAUCAAAACUGUCUGGUCAGCUUUCC